rnacentral:rRNA from 1 species
UCCGUAGGUGGAUAAUUAAGUCAGAGGUGAAAUCCUGCAGCUCAACUGUAGAAUUGCCUUUGAAACUGGUUAUCUUGUGUUAUUAUGAAGUAGUUAGAAUAUGUAGUGUAGCGGUGAAAUGCAUAGAUAUUACAUAGAAUACCAAUUGCGAAGGCAGAUUACUAAUAAUAUACUGACACUGAUGGACGAAAGCGUGGGGAGCGAACAGGAUUAGAUACCCUGGUAGUCC